rnacentral:rRNA from 1 species
UCAGGAUGAACGCUGGCGGCGUGCUUAACACAUGCAAGUCGAACGAUGAUCCGGUGCUUGCACCGGGGAUUAGUGGCGAACGGGUGAGUAACACGUGAGUAACCUGCCCUUGACUNUGGGAUAAGCCUGGGAAACUGGGUCUAAUACCGGAUAUGACUCCUCAUCGCAUGGUGGGGGGUGGAAAGCUUUUGCGGUUUUGGAUGGACUCGCGGCCUAUCAGCUUGUUGGUGAGGUAAUGGCUCACCAAGGCGACGACGGGUAGCCGGCCUGAGAGGGUGACCGGCCACACUGGGACUGAGACACGGCCCAGACUCCUACGGGAGGCAGCAGUGGGGAAUAUUGCACAAUGGGCGGAAGCCUGAUGCAGCGACGCCGCGUGAGGGAUGACGGCCUUCGGGUUGUAAACCUCUUUCAGUAGGGNANAAGCGAAAGUGACGGUACCUGCAG